UAAAAUAAAAAUUCCCUCCAAAGCAUCCCCAGCUGUGCUGAAUCUGAUCUCAAGGCUUAUGAUGUUUGACUCCAAAGCAUUUUUACUUCAGGACAUACUGUUUGAUCUCACUCUGUGCAGUAGGCCUCCUCAUUUUUGGGACACACUGUUCAUAGAGCUUUCCCAGUUCUGAUAGCUCCAGAGAUCUCAAGAAUUUCACAUCCUUCUUUCACUAUCUUCUGUAUUUAAGCAGCGCAUCUUAAUUUUAGGAUCCUCUUAAAUACGCAUGCGUUUCUGAAGUGCAAGCAGCAUAUGAUUUGAACAUGUUAACAGAAUGUCAAAUGUAGCCGUAUUCAUCAUAUUGACAUAUGUUGCAAUUUCUAGGUGUCCUCGCCCAAGUCAGAAACAAAAUGGGUGAACUUUCUAAAUACCAGCUUAGUUUUCUCAAACUGCUUCUUCAAAAUUUUUGUUUGAGUAUGUAAAGGCUGUGCUGUCUUUACAUUUUAUACAUUUUACUUUGAAACAUAAUCUUGUUUUCCCUCCCUUCCUUUUAACAUCAAAAUACAAGAUUUUCUUAGAGCCAGGCAGAGCAGGAGAGACAGAUGUGAUGAACAUGCAGAUACCAGGGAAGUGGUUUCCUUAGCAACGAGCACAGCUAAAGAAGAAAAUACACAUGGAUUCCUCCCAUCACCAGAAUUAAAAGGAGUUACUGAGUGUGAUUCAAA